rnacentral:rRNA from 1 species
GUGGGGAAUAUUGGACAAUGGGCGAAAGCCUGAUCCAGCCAUGCCGCGUGUGUGAAGAAGGUCUUCGGAUUGUAAAGCACUUUAAGUUGGGAGGAAGGGCAGUAAGUUAAUACCUUGCUGUUUUGACGUUACCGACAGAAUAAGCACCGGCUAACUUCGUGCCAGCAGCCGCGGUAAUACGAAGGGUGCAAGCGUUAAUCGGAAUUACUGGGCGUAAAGCGCGCGUAGGUGGUUCAGUAAGUUGGAAGUGAAAUCCCCGGGCUCAACCUGGGAACUGCUUUCAAAACUGCUGAGCUAGAGUACGGUAGAGGGUGGUGGAAUUUCCUGUGUAGCGGUGAAAUGCGUAGAUAUAGGAAGGAACACCAGUGGCGAAGGCGACCACCUGGACUGAUACUGACACUGAGGUGCGAAAGCGUGGGGAGCAAACAGGAUUAGAAACCCUGGUAGUCC